AUUUCCACUUUCUGAUUGAUUGACAUGCAGUCUAAAAUGGUGGACUACAUCCUUGGCGUUUCUGAUCCCAUGCAAUGGCACUCUCAGAAUCUGAAAAUGAAUUCAGAUCACUAUGCUUCAUGGAUGGUUCACCUUGGUGGAGCUAGGCUGAUUACGCAAGUUGCAGAUAAAGUAGGUGUUGGAGUUCACUUCAACCCAUUUGUCAGUUGGAA